rnacentral:sRNA from 1 species
GACUUAUAAAGUGAACGUGUGUAUCUACACCACCAGCUGUAAGAAUAAGACCUUCACCAGAAAUUGCUUCAGUACUAACACCAACUAUGAAAUCUACUUUAUCCAUUCCAUGAGGGUUACCUCCUUUUCCUAUUGCAGCAAUUUUACCAUUUUUUAUUCCUAUAUCUGCUUUAUAUAUACCAGUAUAGUCUAUAACAAUAACUCCAGUUAUAAUUAGGUCUACUACAGCUAGAUUAUCUCUUGUUUCAGUAGAAUUUUGCCCCAUUCCAUCUCUU